GACGAACCGUGCGAACGUUAUUCGGAAUCACUGGGCUUAAAGCGCGUGUAGGCGGAUGGGUGCGUCGGCAUCUGAAAGCCCCCCGGCUCAACCGGGGAAGUGGGGCCGAAACGACCCGUCUGGAGGGACGUAGGGGGAUCUGGAACUUCCGGUGGAGCGGUGAAAUGCGUUGAGAUCGGAAGGAACGCCUGUGGCGAAAGCGAGAUCCUGGACGUUUUUCUGACGCUGAGACGCGAAAGCUAGGGGAGCAAACAGG
rnacentral:rRNA from 1 species